rnacentral:rRNA from 1 species
AGAGUUUGAUCUGGCUCAGGAUGAACGCUAGCUACAGGCUUAACACAUGCAAGUCGCGGGGCAGCGAGAGGAAAGCUUGCUUCCUGUCGGCGACCGGCGCACGGGUGAGUAACGCGUAUCCAACCUUCCCCUUAGUAGGGCAUAGCCCGGCGAAAGUCGGAUUAAUACCCUAUGUUCUUCGUAGAGGACAUCUGAAAUGAAGCAAAGGUUUACCGCUAAGGGAUGGGGAUGCGUCUGAUUAGGUAGUCGGCGGGGUAACGGCCCACCGAGCCUACGAUCAGUAGGGGUUCUGAGAGGAAGGUCCCCCACACUGGUACUGAGACACGGACCAGACUCCUACGGGAGGCAGCAGUGAGGAAUAUUGGUCAAUGGGCGUAAGCCUGAACCAGCCAAGUAGCGUGCAGGAAGACUGCCCUAUGGGUUGUAAACUGCUUUUAUGCGGGGAUAAAGUGAGGGACGUGUCCCUUUUUGCAGGUACCGCAUGAAUAAGGACCGGCUAAUUCCGUGCCAGCCGCAGC